rnacentral:lncRNA from 1 species
GGGUGAGCAAAGCUCCCGACCUGACCCAAUACCCGAGUUAUGUAUAUUAUACUACCCGAAUGUUGACCCUUAAAACAGUUUAGUCAUUUUAAGGAUGCUUUCCAUAUUUGGAGAAAGAAGGGUUGUGAACAUAAAAAUGAGUUCAACAUUGAUGGGCAGGAAAUGAUAUUUUACACAGCCCUCAUUUUGACCCGCUGAAGAAAUAUCAAAUCAGAACUUCGAUGAAGUUGAGAAGAUUUUGAUUUGGAAGGCUUCUAAUAUGCCCAUUUACUACUGCAGGGUUACAUUGCUUGACGGGACUUUUAAGGAGGGGAGAAGUGGGAAACAACUACUUUCGAUACAGUGACAGAGUUAUCGAAGAGCUUUGCUUCAAAUGCUUUGAUUUCUCACAUUUGGUGGCGUAUGCAUGAAUUCUGGAGCAUAAGUGAUGGAAAAGUCUCUU